UUUGGUUUUACUCUGAUACUAAAAAUCCCAUCGUAUUAAGAAUUUUAGGUUAACUUUUACUUCAUAACAGUCUUCCAAUUUAUAUUGUUUAGGUUGAAUUUUACUUCAAUGAUAGCAGUCUUCCGAGAGAAGAGUUUCAGAAGAAAUAAUUAGUGAAAGUGAAGAUGGAUUUAUCCUUUUAAUCUUCCAGGAGAAAGAAACCCUAGAUUUAGGGCAUCUGUGUGAUUUGAAACCUGGUUUUUUCUUUCCACCUCUUUGUUUUUUUAUAUCGGAUUCUCUUUCUACCUCCCCGAUUCCUUUUCCUCUCUCCCACACAAAACCUAGACCUUUGCUUCUUUGGUUUCUGUUUUGAUUGUUUUUUCUUUUUAAUGUAUUGGUUAAUGAUUUAUUUUUAUUUUGAUUUUGUAGUUGAAAAGAGACUGAUUCAAAGAUGGGAUGAUUUUGGUAGAGAUCUUUAAACAAAAAUAAAGACUUAUGGAUGCUUUCAGAUUUGAGGGCAGACUUAAAGACAUGAGAACUUUCAGUAUAUUCAGGCAAGGCAAGUGAAUCAUGACAAAUAUCCUGCUGAUCCUGAAGCUGCUGAAAGAUUUCAGGUGACUACAUAUAUUUUUUUUAAUCUUUUGGGUUAAUGAGUGACAACAUUGUGCUUACUGUGUAGUGCAAAAAUAUUUGAUUACUUUUUCUUGCUGAGUUAAUUAGAUGCAAGUCCAGGCUAAACAAUAACAUUUGUUUAUUUGAAUACCCAUAAUAUUUUGAUGUCCUUUUCAUGGUUCAACCUCCAGCAUAUUCUUUAAAGUUUCUCAAUAGUUUGUAUAUUUAGUCAUUACUGAUUUACUACAUUGAUCAUUGCUCCGUAUGGGAGUCUUUUUUUCUGUCUUAAUCUUCAUGUUAGUCAUUACUUAUGUUCCUUUUAGCUAGCUACUCUAAAAUCUCUGCUACCUUAUGACACAUCAUAUUUUCGCACAUGAUUGACCAACGGACUCCAAUAAACUUGGGUUGGUUUACACUAUAAUUUCAGAAUACCUAAACAUAAUUAGUCUUUCUUUUUUGGGAAGAGCAUAAGCCUUUGUGUUGGUAUUUAGCUGCAUGUUAGGUGCUAUAUAAAACCGAGCAUGGCCACAGUAAUAUUGUAAUCUCAAUAGCAAGUUACUUUGGUAUUCCCUUCACUUUUGGUUUAGUGGAGUGGUCAGCUAAUUGCAAGACUCCGGUUUCAUGGAAUACGGCAAAGAAAUAGGAAGGAGGAAAUAAUAUGGUGGAAUGUUCUUGAGUUUCAUGCAUGUAUGGAUUCUUAAAUCUGAGCCGACAACAAUGCAUUCAAAUUUUUAAAUUUUGGUGAAUAAAAACUGAAUUGUGUUUGUUUCGUGAAGUUGGUUAACAUUUGGAGAAUAGUAUGUUGCACCAAGCAAACUUCGGUGGUUUCUUCAUAUUAUUUUGUAGAGAAUUGGCCGAGUUUAGACCACUUACAGGGGUCAGCUGUAUUCGCCGCUACUCACCCUACCCGUUACUGUGUUACCUUCUGUCGACACAGUGGCUAGAUCAGGCACGUUGGCUCUAUUAUAUCUCUCUCUCUACUGCCAUUAGAAACUCAUAGUAAUUAAUUACAUAGUUCUGAUCACUUUUUUUUCUCCCAGUAAGGCGUCUUGAUCACCUCUGAAUGGAAUAAUUAAGAAUCUUCAGUGGGUGUACCAACUUUCCUUAAAGCACGUAGAAGUGUCGCGUUUCAUAUUAUUUACUCAGAAUUUUUGAUCGACUAAUUCUUUGUUCGUGUUUUAUGGGUUCUGUUAGGGUAACAUGGCAAGUGAGUAUUAGGGAAAAGAAAAGUUUCUCAAAAGUUUCGAUUCCUCAUCUUCUUGAUAUGGGGAAUCCGUUAUAAUUGUAAACACCCAUAUCGUCUUGCUCUUUUAUAGAUUUAUGUUCUAGCAGUUUCAUCAUUCCUUCUUCUCAUCUGUGGAACAGUUCGGCUUUGAAUAUAUCUUUCUUUUUGUACUUCCAUUUGCUUCGAGUUGGAACUAGCUACAUGUGGGUGUGGAAGGGAUUGCGAAGUACAUUUGUCUCUGCUUCAUUUUCAUAAUUAUUGCGAUUGCAGAGGUUUUUCUUAAGGGUGGGUUUGUUCGGGGGGGCUUUUCUUAAUGCGUCCUGAGUUCAUGCAGAGGUACAACAUUACAUGGGAAGUCAGUUUAGGUUUUGAAGUUGGUCGCUACCCAUUUUGUUAAUCUGGCUUUGUAUAAUCACGGGAAGGAGAAACAAGCAAGGAAGGAAGUUGCUUCAUUCUAGGAAUGACUGAGUCGACCCUGCUUUAGAAAAAUACUGGAUCCAUCCAUGACUAUCUUUGGGAUACUGGAAUGCUUGGUCAAGUAACCUUGGUAACAACAAUUGGCUUAUAUUCCUGAAUGAAUAAACGCAAUGCUUAGCUGACUACGUGGGGAUAAUGAUGUAACAAUGAUUUGUAUGAUGGACAGUCGAUGUGCCUACGUGGAGGUUGGUGUUGAGUUAUUUGGAAAAGAGUACAUAGCAUAUAUACAUGCGAAGGAUGGUAAUACUGUCAUCUUUGUUUCUAAAACAACAACCGUAUAUGAUAUAAUGUAGUUGUCACAACUGA